UUUUAUGGAGAGUUUGAUCCUGGCUCAGAGUGAACGCUGGCGGCGUGCCUAAUACAUGCAAGUCGAACGAUGAAGCUUCUAGCUUGCUAGAAUGCUGAUUAGUGGCGCACGGGUGAGUAACGCAUAGGUCAUGUGCCUCUUAGUUUGGGAUAGCCAUUGGAAACGAUGAUUAAUACCAGAUACUCCCUACGGGGGAAAGAUUUAUCGCUAAGAGAUCAGCCUAUGUCCUAUCAGCUUGUUGGUAAGGUAAUGGCUUACCAAGGCUAUGACGGGUAUCCGGCCUGAGAGGGUGAACGGACACACUGGAACUGAGACACGGUCCAGACUCCUACGGGAGGCAGCAGUAGGGAAUAUUGCUCAAUGGGGGAAACCCUGAAGCAGCAACGCCGCGUGGAGGAUGAAGGUUUUAGGAUUGUAAACUCCUUUUGUUAGAGAAGAUAAUGACGGUAUCUAACGAAUAAGCACCGGCUAACUCCGUGCCAGCAGCCGCGGUAAUACGGAGGGUGCAAGCGUUACUCGGAAUCACUGGGCGUAAAGAGCGCGUAGGCGGGAUAGUCAGUCAGGUGUGAAAUCCUAUGGCUUAACCAUAGAACUGCAUUUGAAACUACUAUUCUAGAGUGUGGGAGAGGUAGGUGGAAUUCUUGGUGUAGGGGUAAAAUCCGUAGAGAUCAAGAGGAAUACUCAUUGCGAAGGCGACCUGCUGGAACAUUACUGACGCUGAUUGCGCGAAAGCGUGGGGAGCAAACAGGAUUAGAUACCCUGGUAGUCCACGCCCUAAACGAUGGAUGCUAGUUGUUGGAGGGCUUAGUCUCUCCAGUAAUGCAGCUAACGCAUUAAGCAUCCCGCCUGGGGAGUACGGUCGCAAGAUUAAAACUCAAAGGAAUAGACGGGGACCCGCACAAGCGGUGGAGCAUGUGGUUUAAUUCGAAGAUACACGAAGAACCUUACCUAGGCUUGACAUUGAGAGAAUCCGCUAGAAAUAGUGGAGUGUCUGGCUUGCCAGACCUUGAAAACAGGUGCUGCACGGCUGUCGUCAGCUCGUGUCGUGAGAUGUUGGGUUAAGUCCCGCAACGAGCGCAACCCCCUUUCUUAGUUGCUAACAGGUCAUGCUGAGAACUCUAAGGAUACUGCCUCCGUAAGGAGGAGGAAGGUGGGGACGACGUCAAGUCAUCAUGGCCCUUACGCCUAGGGCUACACACGUGCUACAAUGGGGUGCACAAAGAGAAGCAAUACUGCGAAGUGGAGCCAAUCUUCAAAACACCUCUCAGUUCGGAUUGUAGGCUGCAACUCGCCUGCAUGAAGCUGGAAUCGCUAGUAAUCGCAAAUCAGCCAUGUUGCGGUGAAUACGUUCCCGGGUCUUGUACUCACCGCCCGUCACACCAUGGGAGUUGUGUUUGCCUUAAGUCAGGAUGCUAAAUUGGCUACUGCCCACGGCACACACAGCGACUGGGGUGAAGUCGUAACAAGGUAACCGUAGGUGAACCUGCGGUUGGAUCACCUCCUUUCUAGA
rnacentral:rRNA from 1 species